UACGGAGGGUGCGAGCGUUAAUCGGAAUUACUGGGCGUAAAGAGCACGUAGGUGGUUUGGUAAGUCGGAUGUGAAAGCCCCGGGCUUAACCUGGGAAUUGCAUUCGAAACUGCCUCACUAGAGUCUAGCAGAGGGAUGCGGAAUUCCGGGUGUAGCGGUGAAAUGCGUAGAGAUCCGGAGGAACAUCAGUGGCGAAGGCGGCAUCCUGGGCUAAGACUGACACUGAGGUGCGAAAGCGUGGGGAGCAAACGAGGAUUAGAACCGUACCUUAGAUCCAUCCUCC
rnacentral:rRNA from 1 species